rnacentral:lncRNA from 1 species
GAUGAUACCUCUUCUGUAGUCAUUUCAAAAAUGGCUGAGUAGUAGGCCUAGACAAUGGAUAUGUAUAUGUUAUCCAUAGAAGCAACAUUGAGAAUAACGACGUCACCAUUAUACAUUAUUCUUAAUCAUGUGGUUUAGUCUCUCAUUUAAGUUCGGAUCUUGAUGAGACCUUGAUUCCCUGGCUUGAGCUAUCACCCCAUUAGUGUCGUAGUGUCGGUACACUAGAGACACUUUCUGGUUGGAACCAAAUAGAGAGUUCAUGAAUGAACUUUCUCAUCCAAACAACAUUGUUGUAAGCUUCUUUAUGGCAAUAUAUUUUGCAUGCAUAAUGGAACACACUAAAGUCAUUACUUUUAAUGUUUCCAUCCAAAUAUCUCUUUAGUCAUAAUAAAAAGAUAUCUGAUUAUCUCUUUAUUCAUAAUGAAGAAACAUCCAAUGAUGGAUUAGAUUCAUAAUCUAAUACAUAUACGCUUCCAUUACGUUACUCUAAUUCUUCCUCAUUCUUGAGGAAUCUAUCCUUUAUCAUUUCUCAAAUACUUAAGGAUUCACUUGACAGUUGCCAUGGUUCUGAUCCCGGGCUUGCAUUGAUAUCGUCUUGUACCGAUCUUGGUACAACUCAUAUCAACGUUUUUCAUACAAUAUGAAAUACGUAAAUCAUCUUUCUGCGUAUGCAUAAAGGAUUCUAUUUACACAUUAUUUCUUUGGGAGUCAAAAGGUACGUUCCCUUUGAGAAGAGCUACCUCCUAGUCUCACUAGAGUUGUUCUUCUGAUUGAAGUUUAUCAUCAUAUGAGAAACUUCCUAGCAUCUUUUGUCUAUUAUUAGGGAUUGAUAUAAUCGAAUUAUAUCUUGAAAUCUAUCAUUGUAGAUUUUCAUCCCAUGUAUAUAGACUAUGUCUCCCAUAUCCAUUCUAUCUUUAUAGAAUGUUUACAGUCAUAACUUUAACGAAGAAGUAUUCUUUUCAUUUCCAAAAUUAAUAUAUCAUAUCUGUGUAUAUAUAUAUUCAAAUUUAGGAACAUGAUUAACUCCCACUAAUCUUUUGUAAACCUAGUAAACAAAAGAUUCAUUUACAUCUUUAUGAGAAAUCAAUUGAUUUGAUCUUUCUCUCAUAAGACGCUUAUAGCUCCCACUAGCUUGCUAAGAUUCAUGAUGGAUGAAUCUCUACAACUUACAUGUCUUGUGAUUCAUAGUUUUAGACAUAUAUUAUCAAGACUAUCUUAAUAAUGUUGGAAAUGUGCCCUAAAACCAAUCAUAUGAUGAUACUUUACGGACAUUUCACAUGUUAAACUAAUCUAGUUUAACUAUAAAGGGCAAAGAUUAUUGUUUGAGCCGUCUCAUAUAAAUGUUAUAUGCUUAAACGAUAAAGUCCAAGGAAUAUGUGAUUGGGAGAAUGCAAUCUAAAGAAGUUAGAUUCAUGAGACCAUUCUUUCGUAGACACAUCCUAAACGUUCCUGAUCAUAGGAUUGCCAAUUGGGCAUUGACAGUCCGUUAAGAUCAGUACGUGCUGUGUCUUCUCUCAGGGAGAGUGACUAGUCUCGAGUCAUUGGUGUGUGUGACAUCAAGACAAGUACGUAGGUGCUCAAUAGAGAAUGAGUUCACUGAACACGAUCAACGAAGAGUUCUCAUAUUCAUGUCACAUGAGAACUCAUGGUUGGGAUAAUGCAAAGUAGUCAUUUGACCUAAGGCAUCACAGUUGUCUUGUGGUUAAGUCCUUGAUCUUUGAUUUUGUCAAAGUCACCCCAUCGGGGUGUCCACGGCAUCGUUAGGGUUAAGCCACUUAGUCAUGGAGGCAAGUGAAUGCGCAACAAGGGAUCUCUAACCUUCAAACCGUUUGAGGGAGAAUACUCUAUGAUAUGAUUUAGAACCUCUGAUCAGAGUAUGAAUGAGAUUUAGGAAAGCGUUCCAAAUCACAUUCAAGGUAAUCAUAUAAGCACACGAAUCACAUUGGAUAGUAGACAUGAAUAAAUAAACUAUCAAACCAAACAAUGUGGUCAAGAGUAUUAGAUUAGAGAAAGACCGUAUUGCAUUUGUAAUCCUAAACUGAAUAGGUUCUCCACCUCUUCUGAUUAGCUUGGAUAACCAUGAUAUGCUACUAGGUGUCACUCAUGGUUUGUGGAAGCCCUAAACGUGUGUAAUCACUAAAGGGAGAAUUGAAAGUAAGUUUCAAUUCACAAUCGAUGUAAAAUGGUUUUAAUCAUCCACUGCCUCGCUAAAAGGAACCUAAUGGAUCGUACACCGUGUAAGGUGAAGAUUGAAGAAACAAUGGAGAUGAGUAAGAAUAAUUAAAUGGUUUAAUUAUUUAUGGCAAGGAUUAAUUAAUAUGUUAAUUAAUCAAACGAAUAAGUUCGUUAAAGACCUCGGGGAUAGUUUUGGACCUUAAGGCCCAAUGGGCUUCGAACGUCAAGCCCAUUGACUUAAGUUGUAUGACAACUUAAUUCACAAAGGCCCAAAAGCCCAAACAAAACCCUAGGGCCGGCCAUUUAGAGAAGGGUAGUGAACUUGGACUUAUUUACAAGUUUGCCACUCCAAUGAAUUAAGGUAUAAAUAUGACUUUAUAGCUAAAAUUCAUGAAGGGGUUUGUUUUGGAGAAAAUUGGAGAGAACAUGUCUCUCCAUUUCUCUCUAAAGAGGCCGGCCCCUUGGAGGGUGUAUCUAGCCAUACUACUACUCCAAGGUCACUCAUUUUCUUCUCCAAUCUCUCCUUGGUGUGGAGACUUAGAGGUUCUCAAUUUUGGGAACUUGGAGAACCAUAUUCUUCCAUCCAAAUCCAUGGAUCUAAGAAGCAAGGAAUAAAGGCCCUCUCUUUGGGUGAUUAGCCUUUGCUUAUGCAAAGAGGAAUCUACAAAGGUAUAAUUUCUCAACUCACUUUGAUUUGAGUUGAGUCUUGGUUCACCAAUCUACUAGGCUUUGAAUUUCAUGGUUAAUGUUUUGUUUUUGAAUGCAUGCAAGCAUGAUUCCGCCUUUUAAUUGUUAAAUGCAUGCUAUAGAUGUUAUUCAAAUGAACAUGUUUUCUCAAAAUCAUCCUUCAAGUGGUAUCAGAGCCUAGGUCUAGUAGUUGGUGAAUCCUUUUGGGUUUUGUAUUUCAUAGUAUUGAUUUAAAAGUUGUAAUAUGUUACAAGCUUUAUUCUUGUUUCUUUGAAUGUAAAUUUUGUUAGAAAAUUUGCCAUCUCUUAUGAGCAUGAAUAUUGGAGCUAAAAUUUGGUGCCAUGUUUUUGGGAAUUUUCGGCCAAAUCCAAAGGGUGGAUUUUUGGGUUCUUGUUUGACUUGUUAAAAGUGUUUUCAAGUAACUUUUGGAACCCCUAUGUACCCUAGUUUGGUUAUAUGUUAUUUCCCUAAAGUUUGAAUGGUUUUGGAAUGUUUUUGGGUGAAAAAUGUUCAUGGAAAUUUUUGAGUUUUUCAUGAGUGUUCUUUAUUGUUCUUGACAUUUUUGCCAAGAACAAAAAGUUUGGUGUUUUGAUUCAAAGUUUUGAUUUAUUUCAUAAUUAGAUAUUUAUUUAAAAGGUGUAAGAAAUAAUGGUGGGUGUGAAAGGAUUAAUUCCCUUUCACACACACCACUUGUGCACUUGCAUGCUUUAUGUCAAAACUCACAAAUCAACACACACAUCACUCACACUCCUCUCCAAAACCGGCCCUCCCUCAAGUGGGAGUACUUUUGGGGCUUUUAUGCAAUUACAUAAAGUUUUGAUACUUUUGUGUAUUUGCACUUUGGCCCAAAAGUUUACGUUUUUACGUUUAGGUCCAAAAACGCUAAAGGACAAAUUGUUUUGUUCCUUUAAUGAAGUUUUUGCAUUGUUUAAAUUAUGGGUUCUACUUGUAUUUACAUGAAGUAGUGGAAUUUUGUGUUUUUACAAAGUGACCCCAAAAGUUUAUGUUUUUGCAAUAUAGCCCAAAAGUUGUGCUUAUUGCAUGAUGGCCCAAAUUAGGUUGAGAACAAAAUUGUUUUGUCUCUUUAAAUGAGAAUUGGAUUUUCAUUUUGUUUAGCUCCAUUUAAAUCAAUUUUAUGGAUACAAAAACCAAAUGAAAAUGUUGCAUUCAAAUUAAUUAGUUAAAGUGUUAAUUAAUUAAAGGGUGAUUAUGAACCUAAGCCUACGAUAAUUGAGCUAUGUGAAAGGCCGUUUCAAAUUUGUUUGAACCAUGGGAAUGAGUAGAUUAGAUUUUGGUUGUAAUUUGAUUUGAUCAAAUGUUGUAAAAGGGCAUAAGCUCUUCUUUACUUUAAAGUAAUUUGAUUUAUGCAAAUGUUGUAAUGAGCAUAAGCUCACCUUUACUUUGAAGUACUUCUUUCUUGCUUUAUUUGAUAUGCAUGAAAAUGAAGUAGUUGGGUCCAACGCCCCUAAGACAACACGCCUUAAUGUGAUUAAACGCGUAACUAAAAUCAAUCACCAUCCCUAGACCGAGAUUCAACACUAGGCUCGUGUUGAAUCUAAACAAAGGUUCAUAGUCAUUUAAGGCCCUAAGGCAACUAUAUAGUCCAUCAAUGAAUGCAAACCUUAUGUUAGUAGUAUCAUAUACUCUUGCUUUAAAAACCGUUUUAUAAGCAUAGUGGGAGUAUUAUAUACAACUAAAAACAAUCAUAUGGACCAAUAGUUGUAAUAGGACCAAAAUUGUUUUAAUUGAGAUUAAAAUGUAUGUUUAUAUGUGAUGAGACCUAAAACCCUCAACCAAACCAUUAUUAAGUUGAUAAGCGUGAGAGUGCUUUGAACACUCUUUCGUGGCCUUCUACCGUGGUAGGCUCCAAUCAUUUAUGACUUGUACACCGCCUUCACCCUAUCAUGGGGGAGUGCAAAGUGCAUGCUUAUACUCAGGAGGAAUCUAUAUACAUACUUGAUGAGGUGAGUGUAGGCAACGAGGAUGGCCGACAUCGUAUCAUUGUGAGGCUAUUCUUGAACCCCUUCACGAACUAAGCAUGGUGGGAAUGACUUAACUAAGUGCAAUGGAGCCAACAUCAUAUCAUUGUGAGGUGACAUUCUCUAGAGGCCAAAUAGAUGGGUACUUGCAAGAGAUGCAAAUGAGUAAGCGUACUCUCUCAUUAUUAUUAAUGCUAGCCAACAUCAUAUCAUUGUAAGGUGGGCUUGGUAGUAGUGAGUCUCCCAUACCCUACUAAGAGUUUCAUCCAAAACUCUCGAAUUCCAAUGAGGGAUAUGGAAUUUGCCAAAAAUAGUGGGUGGUGCUAUUUGAUUUAAAGACCCGAAUCAAAUGGCUUAAAAUCAAUCAAUUUAUAUUCGUUAUGUAUUUACUUACCAAUAUAUUUGCAAACGCUAUCCAACACUUGACAAAUAAAAACCGAAAGUUUAGUUUCCGUACUUGGUACUACAAAACCAUAGAUUGUCUUUAAUGGCUUGUAAAUGUACCUAAGUAGUCUCAUCCUCACAAUCUUCCUAUUGAUAAUGUAUCAUUGGAAGAACAUGUUAGAUAAGGUCUAUCAUAAAGAGGACAACACUUUUAAUGUCAUAAUUCUUCAAAUACAAUUUGUUGUAUGAAGAAAUAGGAGUUGCUUUGAACAACUCUUAGUCAAUGCAAACACUUAGUGCUUGUUUCUUUGUUAUAUGAACAAAGAACUUGAGAAGAAAGCAAAAAGGCAUGGACACUUAAUGUGCCAUGAUUCUUCACUUACAAUUUGUUGUAUGAAGAAAUAAGAGUUGCCUUGUACAACUCUUGAAAGUUUGUAAUUAUGUUUAGAACAUAAUGGUUGGUUGACAAAAAUAGUCCAUUAACAUGGACUUAUGAUGAUUUUGAAUCAUUGAGUGUUGAAGUGAUAAACCACUUAACGAGACGGAAACUAGGCAAGGACUUCACCUAUGUGUCCCUAUCCUAAUGGUUCACUAAGUUUAUUGUAAACUAUGUAGUGAACAAUAACCACAUGCUCUCCAAAAUGUUUGAUGUGUAUAACACAAUUGAAAUAAGUUCAAGAGAGAUAGUGGGAGUUUAGGGACCAUGACUAUUGUAGUCAAAGGAGAAGUCAAAUGAAGAAGAUAAAAUUAACUCAAAGGGAACAAACUUUCUUUAUGAAAGGAUGGACAUUGGAAGAGGUAAUGCAAGAAAUGUCUUGCAAGUGUCAAGAACACACCUUUCAAAGGUGUUGUAAAUUGUUCCUGAAUAGUUCAAAACAGUUGGUUCUUUUACUUGAAUGCUUGAUUCCGUAUUAGUAACUAUGUUUUACAAUCGUUGUAAAAGUGUGACUAAUAAGAAGUAGAAGAUAUAUGAGAGAAGAAAAGGUUCUUCACAUUCGGAACGUGAAUAAAAUAUAGAUCUCUGCGAAAGCAGAUAGUACUUACUUCCUCAUAUGAACUACCAAAGAAAUUGGAAAAACCAAAGAUUGUCUUUACAUUCCAAUUUUAAGGAAUUUAAUUCCGUCACUAUAGUAGAGAUGGAUGAAUGUUUUGUUUGAUAAAACAUUGUUCUUUAUUAAUCAAUGAUUGGAUCAUGGUAAUCUAAUUGAUUGUCUCCAUAGUAGAGAUAAUAUGGUGGUGUUAACUGUUUAGAAUAAAAUGAUGCUUAAAACCCAAAAAGGUUGCAAGAUAGUGACUAAUCCCAACUGGUUGUGAUACCUCUAAAACAUAAAUUACGAGUUGGUCAUAGGUGGAUGCUUUGGAUCGUUAGAUCCGGAUCCAAUACCUUCUUGUUAAAAUUGUAUAGAGGCGAAAUGUUCGAAUCUUUAUUCUUUUUGAAAGAAGAAAGAAUCACAAAGUUGUUGAGGUUAAUUCACUUAGAUGUUAGUGGCACUUGUCCACAAACAUAAUACUAUUCAUGUUGUAUGACAUUCACCGAAGAUCACUCUCGGUUAGACUAUAGUUUAUUUUGAAUAAACACAAAUCCGAAUACUUUGCAAAAGGUUUCAAAGAAUUCAAGAAAUGUAAGUUGAUGAGUAAGACGUCUAAAGUAUUUACCUCCUUAGAUUUGAUCCAAGGAAAAGUAACACUUUAGAUGAGUCUCCUUGAAAGAUAUCAAGGAAAGAAGCAUCAUAAGAUAAUAAAUUUCUCCAUUAAGGAGAAGAACGAACUCGAAUAAGAUUUAGUUCGUUAGAUGUUAUCUAUUACCCAUAUAUAGGAUAUAUACUUCUAAAAACAAUAUGAUUGUCAAUUAGAAGAUCUUCCAAAUUUUUCAUGACUCCAUAAGAUGUAGUUGGAAAGAAAGACAAAUCUUAAGCAUGUUAAGAUUUGGGGUUGUGUGCUAAUAAGCAAUAUUUGUUUGAUAACAAUCUUGUGGGAUAUCCUUAAAUUAACUUUUGGAUAUCGCUUCUAUAAACCAACUAACAAAUGUUGUUUUGUUGGGUAGUUCAUUGUAAUCCUACACUAGGAUUUGCCCAAGAUAGAGCAAAUGAACGAGGGAUAGAACUCAAAGAAUGGUUCUUUAAGAAACAAGAUAGUAACCAACAAAUAUAACAACCUAGUUCCUAGACCACAAGCUCCAAGGUAGUCAAGAAGGAUUUAUAAACCGUCUCAGUUGAAUGGUUUCAACUUUAUGACUAUGUCAUAGAGUUGCACCUCUUAAUUCGAAAGAAAUAAGAAUGAAAAUCCUUAUGACUACAUUGAGUGUAUAUACGAUAUAUACUCAAGGAAAUGGUAAAGUACCAUUUGACCCGAAAUAAUGAAACCUUCAUAAGCUAAUUGGUAGCUUAAGGUAACUACAAUCAAAAGGAUGGUUGACUUUGAAGAAACCAUUUUUGACGUAGUCUUGGUUUCAAUUAAUUCGAAGAUAGCUAGCUACAACUAAAUGGUGAUUCAAUGUUUGGACAUAAUAUGGGUUUCUGAAACCAUUAUUAAGAUAGUCUUAAUAAUAUAUCACAAGACAUGUAAGUUGUAGAGAUCCAUCCAUCAUGAAUCAAGCAAGCUAGUGGGAGCUAUAAGCAUCUUAUGAGAAAAGGAUCAAAUCGUUUGAUUUCUCAUAAAGAUGUAAAUGAAUCUUUUGUUUACUAGGUUUACAAAAGGUUAGUGGGAGUUAAUCAUGUUCCUAAAAUUUAAACAUAUAUGAUAUAUUAAUUUUGGAAAUGAAAAGAAUACUUCUUCGUUAAAGUUAUGACUUUAAACAUUUGUUAAAGUUAUGACUUUAAACAUUCUAUAAAGAUAGAAUGUAUAUGGGAGAUAUAGUCUAUAUACAUGGGAUGGAAAUCUAUAAUGAUAUAUUUCAUGAUAUAAUUGGAUUAUAUCAAUCCCUAAUAAUAGACAAUAGAUGCUAGGAAGUUUCUCAUAUGAUGAUAAACUUCAAUUAGAAGGACAACUCUAGUGAGACUAAGAAGUUGCUCUUCUCAAAGGAGAACGUACCUCUUUGACUCCGCAAAGAAAUAAUGCGUAAAUAGAAUCCUUUAUGCAUACACAUAAAGGUGAUUUAUGUAUUUCAUAUUGUAUGAAAAACAUUGAUAUGAGUUUUACCUAGAACGGUACAAGACGAUAUCAGUGCAAGCCCAUGAUCAGAACCAUGGCAACUGUCAAGUAAGUCUUUAAGUAUUUAAGAAAUACUAAAUGAUAGAUUCCUCAAAGAAUGAGGAAGAAUUAGAGUAACGUAAAGGAAGCGUAAAUGUAUUAGAUUAUGAAUCUAAUCCAUCAUUGGAUGUUUCUUCAUUAUGAAUGAAGAGAUAAUCAUAUAUCUCUUUAUUAUGACUAAAGAGAUAUUUGGAUGGAAACAUUAAAAGUAAUGACUUUAGUAUGUUCCAUUAUGAAUGCAAAAUAUAUUGCCAUAUAGAAGCUUACAACAAUGUUGUUUGGAUGGGAAAGUUCAUUUAUGAACUAUCUAUUCGGUUCCAACCAGAAAGUGUAUCUAGUAUACUGACACUAUGACACUAAUGGGGCGAUAGCUCAAGCCAGGGAAUCAAGGUCUCAUCAAGAUCCGAACUCAUAUGAGAGACUGAACCACAUGAUUGAGAAUCAUGUAUAAUGGUGACGUCGUUAUUCUCAAGGUUGCUUAUAUGGAUAACAUAUAGAUAUCCAUUGUCUAGGCCUACUACUCAACCAUUUAUGAAAUGACUACAGAAGAGGUAUCAUCAUGAUGACCAAGCUGAUUGGCUCUAGUGCAAGUGGGAGAUUGUUGGAAAUGUGCCCUAAAACCAAUCAUAUGAUGAUACUUUACGGACAUUUCACAUGUUAAACUAAUCUAGUUUAACUAUAAAGGGAAAAUAUUAUUGUUUGAGCCGUCUCAUAUAAAUGUUAUAUGCUUAAACGAUAAAGUCCAAGGAAUAUGUGAUU